UACGUAGGCAGCAAGCGUUGUUCGGAGUUACUGGGCGUAAAGGGUGUGUAGGCGGUUUGGUAGGUCCGUUGUGAAAACUCGAGGCUCAACCUCGAGACGCCGGCGGAAACCAUCAGGCUAGAGUCCGGAAGAGGAGAGUGGAAUUCCUGGUGUAGCGGUGAAAUGCGCAGAUAUCGAGGAAGACACCCGUGGCUAAGGCGGCUCUCUAGUACGGUACUGACGCUGAGACGCGAAAGCGUGGGGAGCGAACAGG
rnacentral:rRNA from 1 species